AUGGCGCGGCGAUCCGCCCCUCUCCUCCGGCGCGUCCUCUCCCCGGCCCCUCCACCCCCCCUCGCUGGCGCCGUGUCCCGCCGUACCGUCACCUACAUGCCGCGCCCCGGAGACGGCGCCCCGCGCACCGUCACGCUCAUCCCGGGCGACGGCAUCGGGCCCCUCGUGACCGGCGCCGUGCGCCAGGUGAUGGAGGCAAUGCACGCGCCGGUCUGCUUCGAGACGUACGAGGUCCACGGCGACAUGCCAUCGGUGCCUCCCGAGGUCAUCGAGUCCAUCCGCCGCAACAAGGUCUGCCUCAAGGGCGGUCUCGCUACACCCGUCGGCGGAGGUGUCUCCUCCCUCAAUCUGCAGCUGCGCAAGGAGCUCGACCUCUACGCUUCCCUCGUCAAUUGCUUCAAUCUCCCUGGCCUGCCCACCAGGCACGACAACGUUGACAUCGCCGUCAUCAGGGAGAACACGGAGGGCGAGUACUCGGGUCUCGAGCACGAGGUCGUUCCUGGCGUCGUCGAGAGCCUCAAGGUGAUGACGAAGUUCUGCUCUGAAAGGAUUGCCAAAUACGCCUUUGAGUAUGCUUACCUCAACAAUAGAAAGAAAGUGACGGCAGUGCAUAAAGCAAACAUCAUGAAGCUAGCUGAUGGUUUGUUCUUGGAGUCCUGCCGUGAGGUUGCGACGAAGUAUCCUGGAAUUCAAUAUAGUGAAAUCAUUGUGGACAACUGCUGUAUGCAGCUUGUUGCAAAACCUGAACAGUUUGAUGUUAUGGUCACCCCAAAUCUUUAUGGCAAUCUGGUGUCUAAUGUGGCUGCAGGUAUUGCUGGAGGCACGGGUGUCAUGCCUGGAGGCAAUGUUGGUCAGGACCAUGCCAUCUUUGAGCAGGGCGCUUCUGCAGGAAAUGUGGGAAAUGACAAGAUUGUGCAACAGAAGAAAGCUAACCCAGUUGCUCUGUUUCUCUCGUCCGCCAUGAUGCUGAGGCAUUUGCAGUUCCCGUCAUUUGCCGACCGGCUGGAAUCAGCAGUGAAGAGUGUCAUUGCAGAAGGCAAAUACAGGACCAGGGAUUUGGGCGGCACCAGCACCACCCAGGAAGUCACGGAUGCAGUAAUCGCCAAACUUGAUUAG
rnacentral:rRNA from 1 species